rnacentral:rRNA from 1 species
CCAGACAGCCAGGAUGUUGGCUUAGAAGCAGCCAUCAUUUAAAGAAAGCGUAAUAGCUCACUGGUCGAGUCGGCCUGCGCGGAAGAUGUAACGGGGCUAAACCAUGCACCGAAGCUGCGGCAGCGACGCUGAUGCGUUGUUGGGUAGGGGAGCGUUCUGUAAGCCUGCGAAGGUGUGCUGUGAGGCAUGCUGGAGGUAUCAGAAGUGCGAAUGCUGACAUAAGUAACGAUAAAGCGGGUGAAAAGCCCGCUCGCCGGAAGACCAAGGGUUCCUGUCCAACGUUAAUCGGGGCAGGGUGAGUCGACCCCUAAGGCGAGGCCGAAAGGCGUAGUCGAUGGGAAACAGGUUAAUAUUCCUGUACUUGGUGUUACUGCGAAGGGGGGACGGAGAAGGCUAUGUUGGCCGGGCGACGGUUGUCCCGGUUUAAGCGUGUAGGCUGGUUUUCCAGGCAAAUCCGGAAAAUCAAGGCUGAGGCGUGAUGACGAGGCACUACGGUGCUGAAGCAACAAAUGCCCUGCUUCCAGGAAAAGCCUCUAAGCAUCAGGUAACAUCAAAUCGUACCCCAAACCGACACAGGUGGUCAGGUAGAGAAUACCAAGGCGCUUGAGAGAACUCGGGUGAAGGAACUAGGCAAAAUGGUGCCGUAACUUCGGGAGAAGGCACGCUGAUAUGUAGGUGAGGUCCCUCGCGGAUGGAGCUGAAAUCAGUCGAAGAUACCAGCUGGCUGCAACUGUUUAUUAAAAACACAGCACUGUGCAAACACGAAAGUGGACGUAUACGGUGUGACGCCUGCCCGGUGCCGGAAGGUUAAUUGAUGGGGUUAGCGCAAGCGAAGCUCUUGAUCGAAGCCCCGGUAAACGGCGGCCGUAACUAUAACGGUCCUAAGGUAGCGAAAUUCCUUGUCGGGUAAGUUCCGACCUGCACGAAUGGCGUAAUGAUGGCCAGGCUGUCUCCACCCGAGACUCAGUGAAAUUGAACUCGCUGUGAAGAUGCAGUGUACCCGCGGCAAGACGGAAAGACCCCGUGAACCUUUACUAUAGCUUGACACUGAACAUUGAGCCUUGAUGUGUAGGAUAGGUGGGAGGCUUAGAAGUGUGGACGCCAGUCUGCAUGGAGCCGACCUUGAAAUACCACCCUUUAAUGUUUGAUGUUCUAACGUUGACCCGUAAUCCGGGUUGCGGACAGUGUCUGGUGGGUAGUUUGACUGGGGCGGUCUCCUCCUAAAGAGUAACGGAGGAGCACGAAGGUUGGCUAAUCCUGGUCGGACAUCAGGAGGUUAGUGCAAUGGCAUAAGCCAGCUUGACUGCGAGCGUGACGGCGCGAGCAGGUGCGAAAGCAGGUCAUAGUGAUCCGGUGGUUCUGAAUGGAAGGGCCAUCGCUCAACGGAUAAAAGGUACUCCGGGGAUAACAGGCUGAUACCGCCCAAGAGUUCAUAUCGACGGCGGUGUUUGGCACCUCGAUGUCGGCUCAUCACAUCCUGGGGCUGAAGUAGGUCCCAAGGGUAUGGCUGUUCGCCAUUUAAAGUGGUACGCGAGCUGGGUUUAGAACGUCGUGAGACAGUUCGGUCCCUAUCUGCCGUGGGCGCUGGAGAACUGAGGGGGGCUGCUCCUAGUACGAGAGGACCGGAGUGGACGCAUCACUGGUGUUCGGGUUGUCAUGCCAAUGGCACUGCCCGGUAGCUAAAUGCGGAAGAGAUAAGUGCUGAAAGCAUCUAAGCACGAAACUUGCCCCGAGAUGAGUUCUCCCUGACCCUUUAAGGGUCCUGAAGGAACGUUGAAGACGACGACGUUGAUAGGCCGGGUGUGUAAGCGCAGCGAUGCGUUGAGCUAACCGGUACUAAUGAACCGUGAGGCUUAACCUU